rnacentral:rRNA from 1 species
UACGUAGGUGGCAAGCGUUGUCCGGAUUUACUGGGCGUAAAGAGCGCGCAGGCGGUCGUUCAAGUCGCGUGUGAAAGCCCCCCGGCUCAACUGGGGGAGGGUCACUCGAUACUGAUCGACUUGAAGGCAGGAGAAGGGAAGCGGAAUUCCUGGUGUAACGGUGAAAUGCGCAGAUAUCAGGAGGAACACCGGUGGCGAAGGCGGAUCUCUGGGCCUUACCUGACGCUGAGGCGCGAAAGCUAGGGGAGCGAACAGGAUUAGAAACCUAGUA